CGGGCAUGUACCGCUUAGUGGACAUGGCAUCUGCCCUGUAAUCGGAACACUGUGGGUUCGAUUCCCAUCCCUGG
rnacentral:tRNA from 1 species